CCUACGGGAGGCAGCAGUGGGGAAUUUUGGACAAUGGGCGCAAGCCUGAUCCAGCCAUUCCGCGUGAGUGAAGAAGGCCUUCGGGUUGUAAAGCUCUUUCGGCAGGGAAGAAACGGCUACGGUUAAUACCCGUGGCUAAUGACGGUACCUGAAGAAGAAGCACCGGCUAACUACGUGCCAGCAGCCGCGGUAAUACGUAGGGUGCGAGCGUUAAUCGGAAUUACUGGGCGUAAAGCGUGCGCAGGCGGUUUUGUAAGACAGAUGUGAAAUCCCCGGGCUUAACCUGGGAACUGCGUUUGUGACUGCAAGACUAGAGUACGGCAGAGGGGGGUGGAAUUCCACGUGUAGCAGUGAAAUGCGUAGAGAUGUGGAGGAACACCGAUGGCGAAGGCAGCCCCCUGGGUCGAUACUGACGCUCAUGCACGAAAGCGUGGGGAGCAAACAGGAUUAGAUACCCUGGUAGUCCACGCCCUAAACGAUGCCAACUAGGUGUUGGGGAAGGAGACUUCCUUAGUACCGUAGCUAACGCGUGAAGUUGGCCGCCUGGGGAGGUACGGUCGCGAAAUUAAAACGUUAAAGGUAAAGUUAGACGGCGUGAGACGUGCCGACGGACGACGACGAGGGAGGUAGG
rnacentral:rRNA from 1 species